UACUGUGUACACAUACAGCUCAGCUACAUGCACAUUACACACAGCUCUGCUGCAGACAUAUAUAACACACACAUACACAGCUCUGCACCACGCACAUCACACACACACAGCUCUGCUGCAUACACAUAACUUCAGCUCAUCCAGCAGCGAUCACAACCAGCACAGCAGAGUCCUGUAUACACUGAGCAGAUGAGCCUAGAGCAGCAGCCCCUGAUCAUGUGACUCCUCCUCCUCCAUGUGACUGAUCACAUGACGGUGACAUCAUCGCAGGUCCUGUACACGGCUCCUCUACAGAUACAGGAGUCAACACUUUGGCCGUCCAGAAAUUGUUGCUUGAAGAUAUCCCCGAGAAGACCGUUUUGUACAGCUUCCUAUUAGUGAUAAUGGUAAUCUGCGUAGUGCACGGCUGUACUGACAAUACAAGGGACCAUUAU